ACGAACGCUGGCGGCGUGCUUAACACAUGCAAGUCGCACGGAAAGGCCCUGCUUGCCGGGUACUCGAGUGGCGAACGGGUGAGUAACACGUGGGUGAUCUGCCCUGCACUUCGGGAUAAGCCUGGGAAACUGGGUCUAAUACCGGAUAGGAGCCAUUUUUAGUGUGAUGGUUGGAAAGUUUUUUCGGUGUAGGAUGAGCUCGCGGCCUAUCAGCUUGUUGGUGGGGUAAUGGCCUACCAAGGCGGCGACGGGUAGCCGGCCUGAGAGGGUGGACGGCCACAUUGGGACUGAGAUACGGCCCAGACUCCUACGGGAGGCAGCAGUGGGGAAUAUUGCACAAUGGGCGCAAGCCUGAUGCAGCGACGCCGCGUGGGGGAUGACGGCCUUCGGGUUGUAAACUCCUUUCGCUAGGGACGAAGCUUUUUGUGACGGUACCUAGAGAAGAAGCACCGGCUAACUACGUG
rnacentral:rRNA from 1 species